AAGCCAUGCGAGUCGAGAGGUGUAAGACCUCGGCAUACUGCUCAGUAACACGUGGUUAACCUGCCCUAAGGUGGAGAAUACUCCCGGGAAACUGGGGUUAAUGCUCCAUAGUGGAUAUGUCCUGGAAUGGUAUAUCCUCGAAAGAUCCGUCGCCUUAGGAUGGGACUGCGUCCGAUUAGGUUGUUGGCGGGGUAACGGCCCACCAAGCCAUUGAUCGGUACGGGUUGUGGGAGCAAGAUCCCGGAGAUGGAUUCUGAGACAUGAAUCCAGGCCCUACGGGGCGCAGCAGGCGCGCAAACUUUACAAUGCGAGCAAUCGUGAUAAGGAAACCCUGAGUGCCUGUCGAUGCAGGCUGUUCAUAUAUCUAAAUCAUAUGUGAAGAAAGGGCAGGGCAAGACCGGUGCCAGCCGCCGCGGUAAUACCGGCUGCUCGAGUGAUGGCCACUAUUACUGGGUUUAAAGCGUCCGUAGCUUGACUGUUAGGUCCCUUGGGAAAUCUUCGCGCUUAACGUGAAGGCGUCUAAGAGAUACCGGCAGUCUUGGAACUGGGAGAGGUAAACCGUACUUCGGGGGUAGGAGUGAAAUCUUGUAAUCCUCGAGGGACGACCUAUGGCGAAGGCAGUUUACCAGAACAGCUUCGACAGUGAGGGACGAAAGCUGGGGGAGCAAACGGGAUUAGAUACCCCGGUAGUCCCAGCCGUAAACAAUGUGCGUUAGGUGUGUCGGUAACCACGCGUUACUGAUGCGCCGAAGAGAAAUCGUGAAACGCACCACCUGGGG
rnacentral:rRNA from 1 species